UUUCUCUGUAUCGUCUCCAAGAUCAAAUAUGACCCCUCCCCAAACCUUAGCAGCCGCCACCCUUCCCCUUCGCCGUAAACCCGGCAUCAACUAUGUCGGUGACCACCAAAAACACACCUCUGAACCCUAAAACCAUCCUCUCCAUGAAUCCACAACCCUUUCUCCUCGAAUCAUUACCAAACGUAUCGAAUCUUCACCUGACGAAUCAGACCAAAACCUUAAUUCACCCAAUCACUACCAAAAUCACACCAGUAAACCACCUGGCCCCCUCGUUCCUAAAACUCCCUUAGUUUCGCUCGAAUCGUGCUAGAGUUGGUCGAAUCCUAAAUCGACUGCACAACCCUAAUGAGACCAAGACUGGAACCCGUCCAAUUAGGAGGUUUUUGAGGUUGUUAAUUGACCUUAUUCAUGUGUUCUCAGUCGAGAACACUCGAUUAAGGUCCAUUUUGGCCUCAAAAGUUCAAGUCGAAGCUUCGAUGAAGAUGGAGUUCGU
rnacentral:lncRNA from 1 species